UUGAUGCGCAUCGACCGGAACUUCGGAC
rnacentral:piRNA from 1 species